UCGCACGAGAACGUUCUGGCUUUGCCAGGACAAGUACAGUGGCGGACGGGUGCGUAUCGCGUAGAUAACCUGCCCUUAGGCGCGGGACAAUCACGGGAAACCGUGGCUAAUACCGCACGUCGUCUGGGCCCCGCAUGGGGACCAGAUGAAAGCUUGGGGUUACCCAGGCGCCUUGGGAUGGGUCUGCGCUGGAUUAGCUUGUUGGUGAGGCAACGGCUCACCAAGGCGACGAUCCAUAGCUGGUCUGAGAGGACGAUCAGCCACACUGGGACUGAGACACGGCCCAGACUCCUACGGGAGGCAGCAGUGGGGAAUCUUGCACAAUGGGGUCACCCCUGAUGCAGCCAUGCCGCGUGGAGGAAGACACCCCUAUGGGGCGUAAACUCCUUUUCUGAAUGAAGAAACCCCUGUAGGUUCAGGGCGCGACGGUAGUUCAGGAAUAAGCACCGGCUAACUCCGUGCCAGCAGCCGCGGUAAUACGGAGGGUGCAAGCGUUGUCCGGAAUCACUGGGUGUAAAGGGUGUGCAGGCGGGGCAACAAGUCGGAUGUGAAACCCCAUGGCUCAACCAUGGAGGUGCAUUCGAAACUGUUGCUCUUGAGUCCCGGAGAGGCUGUCGGAAUUCGUGGUGUAGCGGUGAAAUGCGUAGAUAUCACGAGGAACACCAGAGGCGAAAGCGGGCAGCUGGACGGGUACUGACGCUCAGGCACGAAAGCGUGGGGAGCAAACAGGAUUAGAUACCC
rnacentral:rRNA from 1 species